GAGAUUUAUUGGGCCGAGCAUACGAGGCCCACAAAUGUACUUGGAAACAAAUAUCUAAAUCACAACAGUGACACUGAGAGUAGCUUCCGAGAGAAAACAAUGGCGAAUCUCCCAAUGGAUAUCGUCAACGAUGUAUUCCUUCGUCUCCCUGCUACUACACUGGUCCGAUGCCGCCUCCUCUCCAAGCUUUGCUUCUCUCUUAUCGACAGUUCCGACUUCGUUGCCUCGCAUCUCAAACGCACGCUCGAAACCGAAGAGCACCUCAUGAUCCUGCUACGAUCGCCUCGCCUUCUACGUACGGUGUACCUCGACGCACCGGAUAAACUCUCAGACGUCGACCAUCCUCUGCAAACCGGUGGUUUCACGGAGGUUUUCGGUUCGGUUAACGGUUUGAUCGGUUUAACAAACUCUCCGGUUGAUUUAGCGAUUUUCAAUCCGUCGACUCGCAAAAUCCACCGGUUACCGAUUGAGCCUAUCGAUUUCUCGGAACGGUUGAUCGCUCGCGAGAAUGUGUUUUACGGAUUAGGUUACGAUUCGGUGAGCGAUGAUUACAAAGUUGUGAGGAUGGUUCAGUCUACGCAUAAAGGCGAUGGAGUCGUCGAAAGCUUUGGUCGCGCUUUCGAAAUCAAAGUUUUCAGCUUGAAAAGUAAUAAAUGGAAGAGAAUCCUUCUUCUCUUUGAGGUUCAGAUUCUUUUCAUAAAAUUAUAUUACCGUUUGCUUUACCGCCGCGGAAAUGGUGUUCUUGCUAGCAACAGUCUUCACUGGAUUCUACCUCGAAGUCGAGGAUAUAUAGCCUACAACACCGUAAUCAGAUUUGAUCUCGCCUCUGACGAUCUUGGAAUCCUCAGGUACCCACUGGAGCUUCUCCAUGAAGAUGAUAUGGACAUAGGUGUGUUAGAUGGCUGCCUUUGCUUGAUGUGUUACAGCGAGUCUAGCCAUGUGGGUGUUUGGAUUUUGAGGGAGUAUGAAAGGAAAUGGUCUAAGUUCAUUACUGUGCCGAAACCUGAGACUGUGGUUUCCUUUGAAUUUGUGAGACCUAUGAUCUACUCCAAGGACAGGAGCAAGAUUUUGCUGGAGAUAAACAAUGGGAAGCUGAUGUGGUUUGAUUUGGAGAGUAAGGGAUUUGAAACGCUUGGAAUAAAGGGUUGUGAGGGUCCGUGUAAUGCUGAAAUCGUCGUGAGUAGCCUUGUUUUGGGAUGUAAAGGUGAUCCUCGCAGAGCUCAAGAGAAGAAGAUGAUGCUGGAGGGUAACAAAAGGGGGGAUGGUUUUCUGUCCAAGGGAUUCAAGCUGAAGUUAUGAGCAAAGCAGAGGAACUUUCAAAGCCCAAACCUUUACCAAGGUAAUUGUAAUGAAUCUAAUGGUCGUGAGUGUUUCCCUCAAGUUGGUACUCCUCCUUCUCUAUAUGGAACUUGAGUCAACAUCAUAGGGUUCAUGGCGUAGGCGGGAGAGGAAAUGGCUUAAAGGCAACUUCAUCAAAUUCGUAUUAGGUCUUAGUACUAAUUAGCUUUAACCUCUGUAGAAGGUAUAUUUCUUAAGAGAAGACAGUGUGCUUAGGUAACUUCUUUUGAGUAUUGCAUGUUGCAAUAUAACGCUGUAGUUGGCUGCUGCAUAUAUAAAAUCUAUGAAUCUGGUAAAAUUAAAA